rnacentral:misc_RNA from 1 species
GAUGAAGAACGUAGCGAAAUGCGAUACUUGGUGUGAAUUGCAGAAUCCCGUGAACCAUCGAGUCUUUGAACGCAAGUUGCGCCCGAAGCCAUUAGGCCGAGGGCACGCCUGCCUGGGCGUCACACGUCGUUGCCCCCCCAUCUACUCCUUCGGGAUUGCGGGGGGCGGAUGAUGGCCUCCCGUGCGCCUUGUCGCGCGGUUGGCAUAAAUGCCAAGUCCUCGGCGACGCACGCCACGACAAUCGGUGGUUGCGAAACCUCGGUUGCCCGUCGUGUGCGGUCGUCGCGCAUCGAGGGCUCGAAAAAAUUGCCGGGCUCCGGCUCGGCUUUCAACGCGACCCCAGGUCAGGCGGGGUUACCCGCUGAAUUUAAGCAUAUCAAUAAGCGGAGGA